UACACUGGCACAUGGAAAGCACUCAAAUAAUGAACAUCUUAUCCAAUGUUUAAAGCAUAAUUAAGGGAUUACAUGUCUUCAAGAGUAUUGUACCCUUUUAUUAGUCAUAAAUCGUUCCUUUCUAUGGAUUUUUAUUACUUCAUAUCAAUUUUUUUUUUAUUAUUUUAAAAGCACAUAAAUAUUUCCAUUUUUGAACAUUCAGAGCUCAAAGGUGGUAUAAAACAACCUUCCAUCAGACUUCCUAAAAUUUAUUUCUUGUCAUUCAUGGGCAACAAAUUAGAUCAAUUAAUACAGGUAUGUCUGAUGGUUGGCUGGGUGUUACUAGAUGUUUUUUUGCAAGCCAUUUCAGAAGAAAUAAGAACAGAUUUAACAGGAGAUACAUGAAAUGACUUGCUUAUUAGAAAGUUUCUCAGCUUCCUGGGAGAGGCGAGGAAAUCUGUUCAAGUUUCCAUUACUUAGCAUCACCUUCUGCCAUUUUACUCACUCAAUCUUUCAGGAAUUACAGAAUAAUUCCCUGUGCUUUGCUAUCUGGCUCAUGAGAUAUUUUGCGUAUUUGCUUUCUUGAAAUUAUUCUGCCUCAUUGAUUAGGGUAAGAAAAACAAUAUAGCAAACUCUUUCCCCCUAAGAUAUAACAUCUGGAAUUUGAUGAUCACCUUGGGCAAGAAUUUAGACUUGUUUUUUGAUGUGGGGUUUGGGGGGGUUGGUUUGUUUUUUGUUUUGUUUUAUUUUGUUUUGUUUUGUGUUUUUGUGGUUUGUUUUGUUUUGUUUUAUUGGUCAGGUUUAAUGUAAGCCAAAAAGUUAUUGUGUACAUGAAAUAACUACAACACAAAGUGUCCACUUUUUUCUCUAGCCCUCAGCAAAAUUUCAGUCUUUCUUGGGUGGAUCCUUACUUGUCAGUCUACACAAGAAUGCCCAUGAAGCCAUGCUGAUAAAUGGAAAUGGACCAGUUUUGGUAUACAAGUCGACCAAACCAUCCUAGGAAAUGUAAGAAGUGCCCAUUUAGUCUAUGUGACAGACAUCAUACACACCUUUAUCAAAGGGUUUUAAAGAAGCUCAAGAAAAAGUAAAAACUUCCAUGCUCCUGAAUAAUUAAUGAAGACUGUUCCUCACUCCAGUAAACACUGCAUUUUUAUAAAGAAAGAGAACAGCUGGUGCAUGAAAUCAAGCUUUUGAAAUCACACAUUUCAAGAAAAAUUCUCUCCAGAUUCAACUUUCGAUAAACAUGAGUCUGCAAUACUUUUCUGCAUGAAAAUGAAACCUAUUAAACAGCAAAGGUGUGAUUGUUUUAUAGCACUUCGAGGAGACUGAAAGUUUAAUUAAAGAAACAAAAAAAAGUUAAUGGCAAGAUUUUUGCAUGAUGCAUUAUGUUUUCAUAUAAGUCACCAUGUACACUUUCAGGCCCUCUUCCGAAAACCAGAGCCCCAAGCCAUCAAAUCCUUUGAAGAGAAAAUAGACUUUGCAUUCAACUCAUCAUGCUGACGAAAGUUGAGCCAUACCACAGAAGGCAGAUUUGAUGUGGUCAUGAGAACUCAACGUGGCAACACAAUGUCCUGUUACGAUCUGGAGAUGUAGCAAAUGUUUCAGUAUGCUCAUCAGUUUUGCAACAAUAUAAUGUAUUUCUGUUUUGUUGAAUAAAACAGACAUUUAUUUUAAAGCCAAAUACUUCAGAAAGAAGUCACCAGGAUUUCAAGCUGAAUUAGCACAGUUAUGAAAGAUGUGAUUUGCAACUGGUUGGCAGCUGCGUUUGGUUAGAAUGUUUUUAAUCUCUGCAGCAUAGAAAUGUGCUUCCCAUAGUUAACGGAUGUGUUAUUGCAAAGGACAAUGAAAUAAAUUCCAGAUUCUAUUCAUCCUCCACAGCCAUGUUCUUUAUCAAAAAAAUUAUUACUUCACUUGUUUCAUUGCUGUCAGGAUAAAAAUCAAGGCCUCAUUUGACCCUAUGCUACAGACAAGUAGAGUGGUCUCCUCUAAUAGAAAAUAUUUCUUAUUUCCUACCUUUGAACCUUGUAAGUCAACCAACUAUAUGAGGCCAUGAACUCAGGGGUUGCCUUAAACCACAUCUUGUAUUUUUUGCUCCAUAAUAGCAAACCUUUUGUUUUUCUGUGCAAGACAUUACCAGAUUUUACCAGUCUGGGUGCAAGUUUUACAGAAAUUUUAUUAUAUAGCCCUUCUAAAGAGGGCCAGAUCCCCACGUGGAAAAGUUUGGUACACGUCACCAAGGCUAUCUGGGAUGUGCAGAUUAACAUGAACAAAAACCAGAGAUAAUUUGUGGUUUAGGAUAUAACUGCAAAUUUGGUAACAUUUGUAAGAACUUUGGUAUCAGCAGGUCAGGCACACCUUCUAAAUAAGAGAUAUUGGAAACUUCUGUAAGUGACAAAAUGAAAAUUAAGAGGAAGUUCUUGAUUCUUCAAGUAGAGUUCUUUACUUUGGAUUUCUAUACUGAACCACUAUUGAGUAUUUUGUGUUGCUAAACUGGUCAUUUCCUUUAAUAUUUUAUUAAUUUUAAACUGUGAUUAGCAUCAUAACUGCUUUAACUCUUACAAAAAGGAGUUCAAUUGUAAAAGAGCAUCAUAAAAUGAAUAAAUAUCCUUUUGUCAGUUAUCAAUUUAGCACCAUAAUUUCAUUCUGAUAUUUAAAAACUCAAAUGAAAUCUCUCUUCUAUGCUUGAGAAUAAAAAAUUAUAGAAAUGUCUGUGAACAAUUGUGUAUUGAACUAAAUGCUUAUAUAAUUUUAUUGUUUGCUAUUUAUUAUUCACUUUUGAGUUUUCUCAUCUCAAAGACUGCAAAAAAUUGUGAUUUUGUCUUUCAGUGUCAGUACUGACUAGGUCUC